rnacentral:rRNA from 3 species
AAAUUGAAGAGUUUGAUCAUGGCUCAGAUUGAACGCUGGCGGCAGGCCUAACACAUGCAAGUCGAACGGUAGCACAGAGAGCUUGCUCUCGGGUGACGAGUGGCGGACGGGUGAGUAAUGUCUGGGAAACUGCCUGAUGGAGGGGGAUAACUACUGGAAACGGUGGCUAAUACCGCAUAACGUCGCAAGACCAAAGAGGGGGACCUUCGGGCCUCUUGCCAUCAGAUGUGCCCAGAUGGGAUUAGCUUGUUGGUGAGGUAACGGCUCACCAAGGCGACGAUCCCUAGCUGGUCUGAGAGGAUGACCAGCCACACUGGAACUGAGACACGGUCCAGACUCCUACGGGAGGCAGCAGUGGGGAAUAUUGCACAAUGGGCGCAAGCCUGAUGCAGCCAUGCCGCGUGUAUGAAGAAGGCCUUCGGGUUGUAAAGUACUUUCAGCGGGGAGGAAGGUGUUGUGGUUAAUAACCACAGCAAUUGACGUUACCCGCAGAAGAAGCACCGGCUAACUCCGUGCCAGCAGCCGCGGUAAUACGGAGGGUGCAAGCGUUAAUCGGAAUUACUGGGCGUAAAGCGCACGCAGGCGGUCUGUCAAGUCGGAUGUGAAAUCCCCGGGCUCAACCUGGGAACUGCAUUCGAAACUGGCAGGCUUGAGUCUUGUAGAGGGGGGUAGAAUUCCAGGUGUAGCGGUGAAAUGCGUAGAGAUCUGGAGGAAUACCGGUGGCGAAGGCGGCCCCCUGGACAAAGACUGACGCUCAGGUGCGAAAGCGUGGGGAGCAAACAGGAUUAGAUACCCUGGUAGUCCACGCCGUAAACGAUGUCUACUUGGAGGUUGUGCCCUUGAGGCGUGGCUUCCGGAGCUAACGCGUUAAGUAGACCGCCUGGGGAGUACGGCCGCAAGGUUAAAACUCAAAUGAAUUGACGGGGGCCCGCACAAGCGGUGGAGCAUGUGGUUUAAUUCGAUGCAACGCGAAGAACCUUACCUGGUCUUGACAUCCACAGAAGAAUCCAGAGAUGGAUUUGUGCCUUCGGGAACUGUGAGACAGGUGCUGCAUGGCUGUCGUCAGCUCGUGUUGUGAAAUGUUGGGUUAAGUCCCGCAACGAGCGCAACCCUUAUCCUUUGUUGCCAGCGGUCCGGCCGGGAACUCAAAGGAGACUGCCAGUGAUAAACUGGAGGAAGGUGGGGAUGACGUCAAGUCAUCAUGGCCCUUACGACCAGGGCUACACACGUGCUACAAUGGCGCAUACAAAGAGAAGCGACCUCGCGAGAGCAAGCGGACCUCAUAAAGUGCGUCGUAGUCCGGAUUGGAGUCUGCAACUCGACUCCAUGAAGUCGGAAUCGCUAGUAAUCGUGGAUCAGAAUGCCACGGUGAAUACGUUCCCGGGCCUUGUACACACCGCCCGUCACACCAUGGGAGUGGGUUGCAAAAGAAGUAGGUAGCUUAACCUUCGGGAGGGCGCUUACCACUUUGUGAUUCAUGACUGGGGUGAAGUCGUAACAAGGUAACCGUAGGGGAACCUGCGGUUGGAUCACCUCCUUACCUUAAAGAA